GGGGCUGCCGCAGCGAAGAGGCCGCCACGCCUGUGGCCCUGGGAAUCGGAGCAGAGGCCGCCGCGGUCGCGAAGGCGCCGAUGACUUUUGAUCCGAUGGCGUUCUUCUGCGUCGCCGUCCUCUAGUCAGUCAGUGUGGUGAAGUGUUCAUGUCUGUACUCUGCUAUGAACCCGGAAUACAGCUCGAAGUUUUUUUUCUGACAAUCCGCUUCAGGAUAUUAAAGAUGAGUCAGACCAAUACGAAGAGCAAGUUAGAGACCAACAGGAGGCCAAUGCACUGGCAACGAAAGGUUCAGACAAGCCAUGAGUC
rnacentral:lncRNA from 1 species